ACAAAAAACAGAGCAGGAUGCUUAUGACUUAAGUUAGUAGCAAGACAAAUCACGUAAUAGGCAACUGCAGGAAGAGGAAGACUGGAAUGCUAGAGCUUCUCUGGGCACAGCACCCAAACACUGCAGGAGCAAGAUCACGAUUUUAUUGAGCACUUACUAAAGGCCAAGCACUCUGGCACCGCCAUGACAUUCCAGGGGGAUCACUCUUUAAGAGAUGUGGCUGUAGUUUGUUGUUGGGUAGUUCAUCUGAAAGGUCAUGGAGAGUCUGAAUUCCAACCACUAUUGUCUGCUUGAAGAAGCAAAGAAAAAUGAGUCUUCAACUUGGAAGAAAUGGAGAAAAGAGGCAAAGGAAGCAGAGAGGAAGAAGAGACAAGGGGAAAUGCUCUCAGAAGAGAUGGGUAAGGACGUGGGGGAUACAACAGAGAAGAAAAAGAAACCAAGAAGGCUGUGAACUCAGCAGGUGCCCAGAAGAGUGUUUUCACUGGUGUUAUCUGCAGCCUCACAGUUGUGGCCCAAAGCAAGGGAGCUAAACUUCGGUCUCCCAAAGUGAUCACUCAUAGCUAAGUAUCACCCUUAAAAGUCAUAAACUCUCAGACUCUUCUGGUUCUCGGUGUCUGUGGGCACUGCUGCUCCAGUAGCCUGGGGACAGUCCUUUGAUGAACGGCAGGUCAGGAGCUGUUGGAAGAAAAAUGACAUGAAUGGUGGAAGGGGGUGUAUAGAAGCAAAAGGAGUCUAGGGAGCUGAGUGAGAGGCAGCAGUGUUCUCUCUCAGGAAAUAUGGAAGAGUGACAUGAGCCAGGUGGCAGAACAGGAUACUAUAGCUCUUGCCCCUCAUAGAAACAGCACUUUGAGUUACUGGGUAUGAUUUGAUUUAGAUCUGUGCUUUAGCAAGCAGACAACUAAAGAAAGGAACAAAAGUACUAAUUAAAUAUUUAUUUCCUUAAUCAUUCAUCCUUAAGAACCAGUAAAUAUUUAUUUAGCAAUUAAAAACAUAUUCACAUACAAAAAAUACCUUCAAAGAGCCAGGAGACUUGGGUGAGGAAUUAUAGCACUAGGACACAGCAUAUAAGUAAAAUGCACUGAAAGGUCGGGUGUGGUGGCACAUGCCUUCAGUCCCAGCACUUAGGAAGCAGAGGCAGGCAGAUCUCUGUGAGUUCAAGGCCAGCUUGGCCUACAAAGUGAGUU